AACGAACGCUGGCGGCAGGCCUAACACAUGCAAGUCGAGCGCGCCCUUCGGGGUGAGCGGCGGACGGGUGAGUAACGCGUGGGAACGUGCCCUUUUCUACGGAAUAGCCUCGGGAAACUGAGAGUAAUACCGUAUACGCCCUUUGGGGGAAAGAUUUAUCGGAAAAGGAUCGGCCCGCGUAGGAUUAGGUAGUUGGUGGGGUAAUGGCCUACCAAGCCGACGAUCCAUAGCUGGUUUGAGAGGAUGAUCAGCCACACUGGGACUGAGACACGGCCCAGACUCCUACGGGAGGCAGCAGUGGGGAAUCUUAGACAAUGGGGGCAACCCUGAUCUAGCCAUGCCGCGUGAGUGAUGAAGGCCUUAGGGUUGUAAAGCUCUUUCAGCUGGGAAGAUAAUGACGGUACCAGCAGAAGAAGCCCCGGCUAACUCCGUG
rnacentral:rRNA from 1 species